rnacentral:rRNA from 1 species
GAUGAACGCUGGCGGCGUGCCUAAUACAUGCAAGUCGUGCGAACAGACGAGGAGCUAGCCCCUCUGACGCUAGCGGUGGACGGGUGAGUAACACGUGGAUAACCUACCUAUAAGAAUGGGAUAACUUCGGUAAACCGGAGCUAAUACCGGAUAACAUGAUGAACAGAAUGGGUCAACAGUGAAAGAGGGUCUAGCUGUCACUUAUAGAUGGAGCCGCGCCGAAUUAGCAAGUUGGUAAGGUAACGGCUUACCAAGGCAACGAUCCGUAGCCGGCCUGAGAGGGUGAUCGGCCACACUGGAACUGAGACACGGUCCAGACUCCUACGGGAGGCAGCAGUAGGGAAUUUUCCGCAAUGGGCGAAAGCCUGACGGAGCAACGCCGCGUGAGUGAAGAAGGUCUUCGGAUCGUAAAACUCUGUUAUUAGGGAAGAACAAAUGUGUAAGUAUCUAUGCACGUCUUGACGGUACCUAAUCAGAAAGCCACGGCUAACUACGUGCCAGCCGCCGCGGUAA